AACGAACGCUGGCGGCAUGCCUAACACAUGCAAGUCGAACGAGACCUUCGGGUCUAGUGGCGCACGGGUGCGUAACGCGUGGGAACCUGCCCUUAGGUUCGGAAUAACUCCCCGAAAGGGGUGCUAAUACCGGAUAAUGUCUUCGGACCAAAGAUUUAUCGCCUUUGGAUGGGCCCGCGUUGGAUUAGCUAGUUGGUAGGGUAAAAGCCUACCAAGGCGACGAUCCAUAGCUGGUCUGAGAGGAUGAUCAGCCACACUGGGACUGAGACACGGCCCAGACUCCUACGGAAGGCAGCAGUGGGGAAUAUUGGACAAUGGGCGAAAGCCUGAUCCAGCAAUGCCGCGGGAGUGAUGAAGGCCUUAGGGUUGUAAAGCUCUUUUACCCGGGAUGAUAAUGACAGUACCGGGAGAAUAAGCUCCGGCUAACUCCGU
rnacentral:rRNA from 1 species